CUAUGCGCCUUGCCAGCCCGCUCAGUCAGAGUUUGAUCCUGGCUCAGAAUCAACGCUGGCGGCGCGCUUAACACAUGCAAGUCGAACGAGAAAGCCCGCAAGGGUGAGUAAAGUGGCGUACGGGUGAGUAACACGUGGGUAAUCUACCUUUUGGUGGGGAAUAACCCUGGGAAACCGGGGCUAAUACCGCAUAAGCUCGAGAGAGGAAAGGAGCAAUUCGCCGAAAGAGGAGCCCGCGGCUGAUUAGCUAGUUGGUGAGGUAAAGGCUCACCAAGCAAUGAUCGGUAGCCGGCCUGAGAGGGCACACGGCCACACUGGCACUGAAACACGGGCCAG
rnacentral:rRNA from 1 species